rnacentral:rRNA from 1 species
AGUGAACGCUGGCGGUAGGCCUAACACAUGCAAGUCGAACGGCAGCACAGUAAGAGCUUGCUCUUACGGGUGGCGAGUGGCGGACGGGGGAGGAAUACAUCGGAAUCUACUUUUUCGUGGGGGAUAACGUAGGGAAACUUACGCUAAUACCGCAUACGACCUACGGGUGAAAGCAGGGGAUCUUCGGACCUUGCGCGAUUGAAUGAGCCGAUGUCGGAUUAGCUAGUUGGCGGGGUAAAGGCCCACCAAGGCGACGAUCCGUAGCUGGUCUGAGAGGAUGAUCAGCCACACUGGAACUGAGACACGGUCCAGACUCCUACGGGAGGCAGCAGUGGGGAAUAUUGGACAAUGGGCGCAAGCCUGAUCCAGCCAUACCGCGUGGGUGAAGAAGGCCUUCGGGUUGUAAAGCCCUUUUGUUGGGAAAGAAAAGCAGCAGGUUAAUACCCCGCUGUUCUGACGGUACCCAAAGAAUAAGCACCGGCUAACUUCGU